rnacentral:rRNA from 1 species
UACAGAGGUCCCGAGCGUUGUUCGGAUUCACUGGGCGUAAAGGGUGCGUAGGUGGCUUGAAAAGUUCGAUGUGAAUCUCCGGGCUAACCGGAACGGCAUUGAAUACUAAUGAGCUGGAGGUUGGAGGGGGACUGGAAUUCUCGGUGUAGCAGUGAAAUGCGUAGGAUAAUCGAGAGGAACACCAGUGGCGAAGGCGAGUCCCU